UUCAUUGUUUCGUGUGUUGUUAAUGACAAGCCGGUUGUUGGAAUAAUUGGUUAUUCGUGAUAGCGUCUCUUUAUUGUUCAACUUCAGGUUUUUUUUCCAGAUUUGGAAGACAAUUGAAGUAACUCCCUGAGGUAUCAAGAGCUUUUUCAGUUUUUUUGUGUUUAGUGCUGAUUAGCAAGACGUAUUAGAAAAAUAGAGGAUGGCUAAACCCAACGAUAUCGCAAUUUCUACACUUCAAGUCCAAGUUGAUGAUGUGAAAAGCGUUAUGACUCAGAACAUUGAAAAGGUCCUAGAAAGAGAAGAGCGACUGAGUGAACUUGCUGACCGAAGUGAUGAUCUUGAAACAGCGGCUCAUGGCUUCCAAAAAACUUCUAUCAAGAUUUCAAAGAAGAUGUGGUGGAAAAAUGCUAAAAUGAUCAUAAUUCUAGCAAUCAUCAUCAUCGUCGUCGUCGUUUUCAUAGUUCUUAUAGCCACAGGGGUUAUUCCAAUGUAGGGAACGUUUAAACCUACCUAAUGUACAAAGUAUUGUAUAUGGAGCACAAAUAUUUAUGUUGAAACCCUAUUUUUAUACAUAAAACUGCUCGCUUUCGCCCAUUAAUAAAGUAGCUCAUGCUCCUUCUA